GACGAACGCUGGCGGCGUGCCUAAUACAUGCAAGUAGAACGCUGAAGGAGGAGCUUGCUUCUCUGGAUGAGUUGCGAACGGGUGAGUAACGCGUAGGUAACCUGCCUGGUAGCGGGGGAUAACUAUUGGAAACGAUAGCUAAUACCGCAUAAUAGCAGUUGUUGCAUGAUAACUGUUUGAAAGGUGCAAUUGCACCACUACCAGAUGGACCUGCGUUGUAUUAGCUAGUUGGUGGGGUAACGGCUCACCAAGGCGACGAUACAUAGCCGACCUGAGAGGGUGAUCGGCCACCCUGGGACUGGGACACGGCCCAGACUCCUACGGGAGGCAGCAGUAGGGAAUCUUCGGCAAUGGACGGAAGUCUGACCGAGCAACGCCGCGUGAGUGAAGAAGGUUUUCGGAUCGUAAAGCUCUGUUGUAAGAGAAGAACGAGUGUGAGAGUGGAAAGUUCACACUGUGACGGUAUCUUACCAGAAAGGGACGGCUAACUACGUG
rnacentral:rRNA from 1 species